GAUCCCGUAGCUCAGCCGGUAGAGCACGUGACUUUUAAUCAUGGGGUCGUGGGUUCGAAUCCCACCGGGAUCA
rnacentral:tRNA from 2 species